UAGAUUCAAAUUGAACUUCGAUUAUUCGUUUGAGUUUUAGAUGAAUCGAGAUACCUAAGUUCAAAUGUUCAUCGGACCGAAUUGAUCGUUAAAGUUUCAUAAGCUCUGAUAUCAUAUUCAGCCCCUGUUUGAGCCAUCUUUUGAAGGAAAUUAGUAGAAAAAAUAUGACCGUUAUAGUUAAUUUUGGGGCCUACAUCAGAAACAUGAGGUCAAAAUAGGUGGG
rnacentral:lncRNA from 1 species